rnacentral:rRNA from 1 species
GAUCAUGGCUCAGGAUGAACGCUGGCGGCGUGCUUAACACAUGCAAGUCGAACGGAACUACUUUGAUGAGAUUCUUCGGAAAGGAUUUGAUUUAGUUUAGUGGCGGACGGGUGAGUAACGCGUGGGUAACCUGCCUCAUACAGGGGGAUAACAGUUGGAAACGGCUGUUAAUACCGCAUAAGCGCACAGUACCGCAUGGUACNGUGAAACUAACGUCGGUAGU